GUCCCAGAGGCAGCUGGAGCCGUGCCGCGUCCGUGCUUUUUCUUCGUGUCUUGUAUAAUUCUUUCUCAUCUGGAAUACCAACUCUGACCAGGAUAAAGCGUGAGUGUCCGUGUAUCAUUCGGGCGGGGAGUGCAGAGGAAGAGAAGGCAGAAAUGAGAAAUUAUAAAGAAGAAAACGUGCUGUGUCUUCUCCCUUCUGGCCAGACCGCCAUUCUGGACAUCAUUUCAUCGUGUGUGAGUCUGACCAGCUGGAGUGAAGCUCAUCACAGCGCUUUUUGAAUUUCUGUCAUUGUGAUUCUGCCACGUGAGAAGAGGAUAGGAUAACGCUGCUGCCACGAAUGAUGCUGUUGCUCAAUGAUUUGUGUUUAUAGAGUCGUGGUGGAGAGAGGCAGUCACAAAGGAAACACUUGAUCUCCCAACACUACAUUCUACUCCCACUCUGACCUUGUACAAUGGAGGAAGUGCUUUCUCACUCUCUUGAAGACCUGAUGGGGAAUGACUUCGUCCAUCACUCACUGGUGGCCUGUCCUCAUCAGAGAGCUCAGUGUCAAAGAUGUCAGGAUUGUAGCUGACCUUUGGAGAACAUUAAGAAAAGGCUUUUGAAGGUCCAGCGGCACACUGCGCACUGCUUGCAUAAACGUGUGUGCAGAGUGCAAGACUGAGAGUGACAAGGAUGGGGGAUGCAAGACAGAGACGGGCAAGGAUGGAGGAUGCUUCAGCUUUCACAGCAUCAUUGAUUCAGGCUUUCUUGUUUUGUGGAAAGUAGUGCAGACAGGUUUAACCGAAGGAUUAUAUGUCAUCACUUAUAUUGAUAGAUUGUGACAUUGUGUUGACCUUUGUGCAUCAAAUCACUUUAUUUUAUGUUAGUGUAUAUUUAGCUACAAGGAGUAACAGUUUGUGAGAUUUGUAAUGUGUAAAAAGUUACUUAAAAGAGAUCUUGCAUUAUGAAGAUUUGUUUAAAGGUGUUUAUUUAUCAGCAUGAUCUAGUUGUGUCAGUCUAAACAGUCCACAUUGUACAGACAUGAACCAUUGGCCAUUGCUACUUCCUACACAUGAAAUUUCAGUCAACACUGCAAGGUUGUGUGUGUGUGUGGGCAGCUUUGUGAGCAAGUGUGGCAGUCAUUCCUUAUUUCAAUGUCUUUCAUUUAGGGAAAAUAUGUUGUGUAUAUUCAUUUUGAGAAUGUUAAUGUUAGUAACUAGUUGAAAUUUGUGUGUGUGUGUGUGUGUGUGUGGGCAGCUUUGUGAGCAAGUGUGGCAGUCAUUCCUUAUUUCAAUGUCUUUCAUUUAGGGAAAAUAUGUUGUGUAUAUUCAUUUUUGAGAAUGUUAAUGUUAGUAACUAGUUGAAAUUUGUGUGUGUGUGUGUGUGUGUGUGGGCAGCUUUGUGAGCAAGUGUGGCAGUCAUUCCUUAUUUCAAUGUCUUUCA